UAAAGAUCGAGUGGGCAUGAUCAG
rnacentral:piRNA from 1 species